rnacentral:rRNA from 1 species
UACGUAGGGGGGCGAGCGUUGUCCGGAUUUAUUGGGCGUAAAGAGCUCGUAGGCGGUUUGUCGCGUCUGCUGUGAAAACUCGGGGCUUAACCCCGGGCCUGCAGUGGGUACGGGCAGACUAGAGUGCGGUAGGGGAGACUGGAAUUCCUGGUGUAGCGGUGAAAUGCGCAGAUAUCAGGAGGAACACCGGUGGCGAAGGCGGGUCUCUGGGCCGUAACUGACGCUGAGGAGCGAAAGCGUGGGGGAGCGAACAGG